rnacentral:rRNA from 1 species
AUGUGGAGCCGUAGCGAAAGCGAGUCUGAAUAGGGCGUUGAGUAUUUGGUCGUAGACCCGAAACCAGGUGAUCUACCCAUGGUCAGGUUGAAGUUCAGGUAACACUGAAUGGAGGACCGAACCGACUUACGUUGAAAAGUGAGCGGAUGAACUGUGGGUAGCGGAGAAAUUCCAAUCGAACUUGGAGAUAGCUGGUUCUCUCCGAAAUAGCUUUAGGGCUAGCCUCAAGUGAUGAUUAUUGGAGGUAGAGCACUGUUUGGACGAGGGGCCCCUCUCGGGUUACCGAAUUCAGACAAACUCCGAAUGCCAAUUAAUUUAACUUGGGAGUCAGAACAUGGGUGAUAAGGUCCGUGUUCGAAAGGGAAACAGCCCAGACCACCAGCUAAGGUCCCAAAAUAUAUGUUAAGUGGAAAAGGAUGUGGCGUUGCCCAGACAACUAGGAUGUUGGCUUAGAAGCAGCCAUCAUUUAAAGAGUGCGUAAUAGCUCACUAGUCGAGUGACACUGCGCCGAAAAUGUACCGGGGCUAAACAUAUUACCGAAGCUGUGGAUUGUCCGUAGGACAAUGGUAGGAGAGCGUUCUAAGGGCGUUGAAGCAUGAU